rnacentral:lncRNA from 1 species
GUGCACCUGGAGAUGUAGGUGCUGUCCUUCUAUCGUAACAUAGCCCUGUGAAGUAGAUCCCCAUUCCAUAAUGUAGGAAUCGGAGGCUAGAACAGGAAACUACCGGUAGGUGGGCUGGCGGUCCCACCCAGGAAGAGUGCCCCUCGGGGGUGGGAGACUGACUGACCAGGAAGGACAGCAAGGCAGGAUCCCCGAGGGAAGGACAAGAUGGAGGAAAAGACUCCCAUCAGAGUCUUUAUGUAAGCCCUCUCCCCAUGUCCCUCCCCAUCUGAGAACUCUUUUUUGACCGCGUGUAGCUGGAGCACAACCGUGUCCAGCCAUUUCCCCAUCACUGCCUUUCCAGAUGUGUGUCCAGCUCCAGCUGUGGGUCCCCUGGGAGUUACGUCACUUGUUUUUCAGCUCCCACUCUUCUUCCAAAACCCGGCGGAGGCCCCAGUGUCAGAUCCAUCACUCUGAAAGCCAGUGUCGCGUUCCUUCCCCACAGGUGACCUCAGCCUUGUCCCUGUGGCCUGGAUGUGUUCAGCCCAUCACCUCCACAGCAACGUUCAAGUGUCAGUGUCUCCUUGCCCAGCCGAAGCCAGGUAGUUGGGGGGUGGGGGACUUGCACACCACCCAGCUGAUGGCUACAGAAAUGUGCUUUAAUGGAACUUCAGAACCCAUGCAUGUCCAAGAGGAAGCAGUAGGUGCUUAUGGAGAAAGUCCUGUGGCAAAUGAAAAGCAAGGCUCUGGGCAGGCGGCUAGCCUCAACUAGUCUCCAGAUAACCAGCAGCUCCCUCCCAGAAAAGCUAGCAGGGAGAAGGGAGAUGGAAGCCAGCUUGCCUGGGCACAGUGUGACUUCAAGUUCUGGGCUCCGGAGGGAGAAGCCUUCCAGCCAGCUCGUCGGUGGUCCAGGCCCCUCCGUGUCUGCGUUCCUUGCCUCGCAUAAUUUGGGCAUUAGUGCUAAAUACAUUUCCUCCCUCUAGAGAAUGGAAUGUCCAGACUCCCGAAGCAGAUCUGGGUUGGAAGAAUGGUUACAUAACCAAGCAGGGACCCUCCCGCCUCUCCCAGUGCCUGUCAGUCAGGCAGCAGUCACUGGUCCAAGAGCCAGAGCUGCCAGCACCCUGCAGAGAGGGGACCCCACCCACCGUGUUUUGAGUUUCAGACAAAUUGGGAAGUCAGAACAUCUGCUUUGCACCAAGUUUUACCUCAUUACACCACAGCCUCUCUGGGGUGGGGUCCUCCUGGGCAGCCGUCCUCACUCACCCUCUCCACAGCACCCCCUCCCCCAAGCAUCCCUUGGUGCGGGACCCAGUGGGCAUGGGCACUUCCAGAGCACCCUGAAUCACAAGGCAGCCUCCCUUCCACAUCCUUCCGUGGUUCUUCCUACAAAGGGGCCCACAGCGGCCUUCUACCUGUCCCUCCCUGUUCCCCUGACUCCUAUGGAAAGACCAACAACAGAUACCCAGAGUAGGGGAGAAAAAGCACAAGGUAGCCAAGGAUGCCCCAAGCAUAGCCUCGUCCUGCUGUCCUCAGGGAGCAAUGCAGUCUAGAAAGUCAAGCUGUAGCAUGUGUGUGGGCUGUGUGAAGAGAGGGGCAUUUACCAGUCCCAGCCACAGGAGCCCAUGGAUGACCGUGUAUGGCGGUGCCACAGUAAUUCAGUACGGUGCAAACUCAGAGAGGUAAAGAACGGGUGUAAGUUAGGUUCUGUAUAAUGGAAUUUUUACCUUUCGCAAUUAAAAGUGUGUACGUUGCUUGGUAAGAAGGAA